GGGGAUAACGUUUGGAAACGAACGCUAAUACCGCAUGAUAUUAUUGAGCUGCAUGGCUUGAUAAUCAAAGGAGCAAUCCGCUGAAAGAUGGGCUCGCGUCCGACUAGGUAGUUGGCGGGGCAACGGCCCACCAAGCCGACGAUCGGUAGCCGGACUGAGAGGUUGAACGGCCACAUUGGGACUGAGACACGGCCCAGACUCCUACGGGAGGCAGCAGUGAGGGAUAUUGGUCAAUGGGGGAAACCCUGAACCAGCAACGCCGCGUGAGGGAAGACGGUUUUCGGAUUGUAAACCUCUGUCCUCUGUGAAGAUGAUGACGGUAGCAGAGGAGGAAGCUCCGGCUAACUACGUGCCAGCAGCCGCGGUAAUACGUAGGGAGCAAGCGUUGUCCGGAUUUACUGGGUGUAAAGGGUGCGUAGGCGGCUUUGCAAGUCAGAAGUGAAAUCCAUGGGCUUAACCCAUGAACUGCUUUUGAAACUGCAGAGCUUGAGUGGAGUAGAGGUAGGCGGAAUUCCCGGUGUAGCGGUGAAAUGCGUAGAGAUCGGGAGGAACACCAGUGGCGAAGGCGGCCUGCUGGGCUCUAACUGACGCUGAGGCACGAAAGCGUGGGUAGCAAACAGGAUUAGAUACCCUGGUAGUCCACGCUGUAAACGAUGAUUACUGGGUGUGGGUGGACUGACCCCAUCCGUGCCGGAG
rnacentral:rRNA from 1 species